rnacentral:rRNA from 1 species
AAGGAAUAUUGGACAAUGGGCGCAAGCCUGAUCCAGCCAUGCCGCGUGAAGGAUUAAGGUCCUCUGGAUUGUAAACUUCUUUUAUAAGGGACGAAAAAAGGGAACUCUUUCUCACUUGACGGUACCUUAUGAAUAAGCACCGGCUAACUCCGUGCCAGCAGCCGCGGUAAUACGGAGGGUGCAAGCGUUAUCCGGAUUCACUGGGUUUAAAGGGUGCGUAGGCGGGUAUUUAAGUCAGUGGUGAAAUCCUAGAGCUUAACUCUAGAACUGCCAUUGAUACUAUUUAUCUUGAAUAUUGUGGAGGUAAGCGGAAUAUGUCAUGUAGCGGUGAAAUGCUUAGAUAUGACAUAGAACACCUAUUGCGAAGGCAGCUUACUACGCAUAUAUUGACGCUGAGGCACGAAAGCGUGGGGAUCAAAC